UGAGUGCGAGCUGCUACGGCAGCGAAGUUGGUGACGUCAAGCUUCCAAGAAAAGCCCUACACCCGUUAAGGCAUCAUGGCCUGUACCCGAAACCGACACAGGUGGGGUGGUAGAGAAUACCGAGGGGCGCGAGGUAACUCUCUCUAAGGAACUCGGCAAAAUGCCCCGUAACUUCGGGAGAAGGGGUGCCAGCGAUAGCUGGUCGCAGUGAAGAGGCCCAGGCGACUGUUUACCAAAAACACAGGUCUCCGCUAAGUCGCAAGACGAUGUAUGGGGGCUGACGCCUGCCCAGUGCCGGAAGGUUAAGGAAGCUGGUCAGCGCAAGCGAAGCUAGCGACUGAAGCCCCGGUGAACGGCGGCCGUAACGAUAACGGUCCUAAGGUAGCGAAAUUCCUUGUCGGGUAAGUUCCGACCCGCACGAAAGGCGUAACGAUCUGGGCGCUGUCUCGGAGAGAGGCUCGGCGAAAUAGAAUUGUCUGUGAAGAUGCGGACUACGUGCACCCGGACAGAAAGACCCUAUGAAGCUUUACUGUAGCUUGGUAUUGUGCUCGGGCUCGGAAUGCGCAGGAUAGGUGGGAGGCUUGGAUCCAUUGCUUGCGGGUGAUGGUGAGCCACUGGUGAGAUACCACUCUUUCCGAGCUAGAGUUCUAACCCUCGCCCUUUAUCCGGGGAGGGGACAGUAUCAGGUGGGCAGUUUGACUGGGGCGGUCGCCUCCUAAAAGGUAACGGAGGCGUGCAAAGGUUCCCUCAGGCUGGUUGGAAAUCAGCCGACGAGUGCAAAGGCAGAAGGGAGCUUGACUGUGAGACCUACAAGUCGAACAGGGACGAAAGUCGGCCUUAGUGAUCCGACGGUUCUGCGUGGAAGGGCCGUCGCUCAACGGAUAAAAGUUACUCUAAGGAUAACAGGCUGAUCUCCCCCAAGAGUUCACAUCGACGGGGAGGUUUGGCACCUCGAUGUCGGCUCAUCGCAACCUGGGGCUGAAGUCGGUCCCAAGGGUUGGGCUGUUCGCCCAUUAAAGCGGUACGCGAGCUGGGUUCAGAACGUCGUGAGACAGUUCGGUCCAUAUCCGGUGCACGCGCAGGAAUAUUGAGAGGAUUUCUCCCUAGUACGAGAGGACCGGGAGGAACGCACCUCUGGUGUGCCAGUUAUCGUGCCAACGGUAAACGCUGGGUAGCCAUGUGCGGAGAGGAUAACCGCUGAAAGCAUCUAAGUGGGAAGCCCACCUCAAGAUGAGUAUUCCCAUGGCAAAAGCCAGUAAGGUCACGGGAAGAUUACCCGUUGAUAGGCUCUACGUGGAAGCGCAGCAAUGCGUGAAGCGGAGGAGUACUAAUAGACCGAGGGCUUGAC
rnacentral:rRNA from 1 species